rnacentral:rRNA from 1 species
GAUGAACGCUGGCGGCGUGCCUAAUACAUGCAAGUCGAGCGAAGAAAGUAGCAAUAUUUUCUUAGCGGCGAACGGGUGAGUAACGCGUUGGUGACCUGCCUCGAAGCGUGGGAUAACAGUUCGAAAGGAUUGCUAAUACCGCAUGUGGUUGUAGAGAUUAGACGCUUUACAACUAAAGGAGAAAUUCACUUCGAGAGGGGCCUGCGUCCCAUCAGCUAGUUGGUAAGGUAACGGCUUACCAAGGCUAUGACGGGUAGGGGACCUGAGAGGGUGACCCCCCACAAUGGAACUGAAACACGGUCCAUACACCUACGGGUGGCAGCAGUAGGGAAUAUUGCAUAAUGGGCGAAAGCCUGAUGCAGCAACGCCGCGUGUGCGAUGAAGGCCUUCGGGUCGUAAAGCACUUUUAGAGAGGAUGAGGAAGGACAGUACUCUCUGAAUAAGCCUCGGCUAACUACGUGCCAGCAGCCGCGGUAAAACGUAGGAGGCGAGCGUUAUCCGGAUUUACUGGGCGUAAAGCGCGUGCAGGCGGUAAGGAAAGUCGGAUGUGAAAGCUCCUGGCUUAACUGGGAGAGGUCGUUCAAAACU